rnacentral:lncRNA from 1 species
CACGGAUGAGUUACAGCAAAGCAACCAAUUGGGUGCACGAUGUCAAAGGCACGAAGACACGUAACGCACAAAGUGUUUGGGGAACCGACAUGCACAAGGAGUCGACGCAUGCAAAUAAUAUCCAUAUAAUAAGACACACGUCAGUCUCAGAAUCAGUUGCAACACCUCUUAUCGCCACGCACGCAGCAACCGCUUCUGUCACUUUUUAUUUCUAGAUGAUGGGACGGUAUACUAGUAGCAGCAGCAGCAGCAGUGAUCACCUUGUUCAGUUUCUGCUUAAAACCCCUCCCCCCCCCCCCCCCCCCCAGAAUUCCAUUCAUUAAAGUUUCGGACAAAUUGAUUUCGAUAAUCAAAGAGGAUUUAACUUCAUUCACAUUUCACUACCUAUUUACUAUAUAUGAUUACAUAUAUAGUUUAGUAUACACACAAAUAAUUAGGGUAAUUAAUUAAUUAAUUAAUAUUAGUUGUUUAGUUGUUCUUGUUGUUGUUGCUGCUGUUGAGGGCUGAGAGCUGGAUGUAUAAAGCAAGCAUGGAUUUGAAGGAGCAAAGUAGGCGUCGGUUAUUCUGUGGUGGUUUGGGAUUGGCAUUGCUACUGAUGAUGAGUGUUGGCGUUAGCCGUUGCGGUUGCGCAGAGGAAGGUGGAGUAAACCAGAAGGAUCACGCAACAGAGUCGUGGACCGAUUGGGCCAAGGAUAAGAUUUCUGAAGGACUCCGUCUCAAGGGCUCUGAAGACUCACUUAAUUCCGCUGCUGCGCCUGACAAAGCUUCCGAAUCUGCUAAAGCCGCCAAAGACAAAGUUCAAGACGUUGCUUCAGGUUCAAUAUAUAACACUUCCUAGCUAGUUCCAUUCCUUCAUUUUAUAUGAUGAUUAAUUAAAUUUGAAAUUAAUUAGCGAGGUCAUAAUUAAACAUAUAUAUACAUACACGACAUGCUUGCGCAGAAGUUGGUGCGGAGAAAGCCAAAGAAACGAAGGACGCCAUGUACAAGUCAUCGGAGAAGGCGAGUGAUAUCACGGAAAAAGCUGCGGAGCAGGCUGGUGAUGUUAAAGAUGCAGCAACCGAGAAAGCUAGAGAAGCAACCGAUGCUGCUAAGGAGAAGGCGCGCGAGAUUAAAGACAAGGCAAAGGAGACUGAAGAAAGGGCGGGUCAGAAGAAAGAGGAGCAUGCAAGCUGGGCCAAGGAGAAAGCGAAACAAGGGUUUGAAGCUGCCAAAACCAAAGCCGAGGAAACCCUUGAGGCUGCUAAGCGUACAUCACAAGAGAUCAAAGACAAUUUAGCUGGUGCCGCCCCUACUGGUACCCGUGAUGACGAGCUUUGAGCUUUGAGCCCUGAGAGCUACCUAGAUCCGCUUAAUUCUGAGAGCUGGCUAGAUGUCUUUCUGUUGCUUAAUUUCGCCUACAUAUACUGAUGAUGUGGGUUCAGUUUCCUUUUUAGUACUUGUAAUAAUGCACGUGUGUUUGUAUCCUCAUUUUGUCAUGUACUGCGUUCUGUAUCUUCUUUAACCGGAAGGUUUUGUAAGGCUAGCUCUGGCUUUUUCAUCUUAACUCUUAGAGCGCUGCUAUUUACCCCAGGUUAAACCCCGGGUUAAGUCCCGAAGAUUGUGUAAAACGACGUCGUUUUGAGAAUUAAUUUUUUAUUUAUUUUAAAAUUAAACAUUUGUUGUUUCAUUUCUCUUUUCAUUUUCGUUCCUUUUUCUUUCCAAGUACAGAGCAUUGCUAUCUUCUUCACAGCCCCAUCUAAUUCCUCCAAAUCUACUUCUGAAAAUGAUGCAUCACAAAAACGCUGCUUCUGCAAAUGACAGAUCAAGUAAAUGAAUGCGCUUAAAUCAUGUAGCUUGGUUGGUUUUUCAAAAUCUACUUUUGUCUUUACUUUUGCAUCGUUUUCAGAAGCAAAGUUUAAGGUUGUGAUGUGUUUUAAUAAUCUUAUAAGUAUCCUGCUGAGGAUUGCAACACAAAGAAGCAAAUUAAAACAAAACAUGAGAAGAGGAAGAAAAAUAAUUAAUUAAACAACAUAGUCGCUGUAAAUACUACAAAAAUUACAAAAAAAAAAUGCUUUCACUUUAACUGACAAGUAUGGGAGUUUUAAUCACAGUUACAAACUCUAAUUUUUUUUUUUUGGCAAUAGUGGACAAUAAAUUUGAUAAACAAACUAGAACAAUUUGACCAAUAUACAUAAAGAUCUAAGCUCAAGAGGAUGUAGAGUUGAUGGAAGAGAUAGAUGGCAAAGUCAAGAACAAAAGUCAAGAACAAAAGCCAAGAAGAACAACAACAAAGGCUCAGUGAUGACAUUAUUGCUAGAUCCAAGCUUUUGGAAGUUUGAGUGAAGCUUGAUCGCCAUGAAUGACUUCUUCAUAACCCACCUUCAAAACCCAACUGAUGUUAACAGAUCGAUUCAUUGGAUGAGACAGUCGUGUAUGUGAGGGUAUGAGAGCAAAGAGACUUGUUGUUGUACUGUUGGGAAUGAGGCAGCUGCGUGGAGACGGGAGAAAACGGCUACUGCAGUGGAGCUUGUGGCAACGGCUGGCAGCUUGAAGACGAGAGAGAAAGAGUUGCGAUGAGGGAGAAAGGAAAGCAGUGUACUGAGAAAGAAAUGAAAGAGCCAGACGCGUGAACUUAGGACACGUGAGGUACUCUUUGCACUCAUGCUCUUCUUUGUGUGAAUAUCGGCGUUGUUAUAAGUAAUCUUUUGUUUUUUUGGCUAAAACGGUGCGUUUUUACGAUGUUGGGGUUUGAUUCGGGGUUUGUUUCGGGGGAAGUAGCAUUUUCCUAACUCUUAAAUCAGGAGUAGCACUUUUAUGGUAGAAUCAACGUCAGUGUCAGACUCCACAUUUACAUGUAUGUGUACGUAUGUCAAUGUGAUACAUACGUACAUUCACAUAUUCGCGCAAUUAAGUCUUUUAACUUAUUAUGUGAUUUUCACCCGCCACCCACCCAAGUUAAUAUUCGGUGUGUCGUGUGGUCGAGUCCGUCCCAAAAAGGGCCAACUGGAUUGGAUCGAGAGAUUUGUUUGGGCCAUUCAGUUCGCGUCACAUACAAAGACUAAUCUCUUAUAUCUUGUAAAUCUAAUUUGCUGGUCUCAUGACGGCAGCUGCAAUUGGCCACUAAUGUCUAAUUGCCACCAUCUGUUUGUUAUUAUGUACCACGGAAUCCAUAGCCCCGAGACAGGAAUCAUAAAAUUUUGUGUCUCUCUUUAUGUGGAUGAUAAUGUUGUAACUCAAAAACUUUUUGUUUGUUCAACUAGUAAUGGGCAUUAAUUUAAUUGCACUGAAUGUGCGCAUCAAUAAUAUAACAUGUAAGCGUUUUGGCUAACAAUAUCGCCUCACCUCGCCCAUAAUAUAGAGUGCUGUUCGAUCAGGAGGCAGACUGGUGAAACACCACCAAAGGCCACCAUUGGCUGGACAUGGUAGACUCCACCAUGUGCAGCCAACGAAAAUAAAAAAGAAACAAUUUGGGGGCCGUUGGACUUCAAUUCAAUGGUCCCAAAUUCCUUCCCAGGUUGUGUUUGAUAAGUCUAGGAGACACAAAUACGUGGGGUGAAGGAAGAUCAACAGGAUCAGGCACUCCUCGUGCAACUGGUAUGACCACAGAGCCUGGGGACAAUACAAGGUCAAGGCUCGAACGAAAUGCAUGCAUGCGCAGGAUAUGUGGCCAAGUUGUGGGGCUCAGUUCUGCAUGAAGACUUGGUCUAGUUUUCUAUUCAAAGUUCACAUUAUUAAUUACUGUAUUGUGGUCUGUUAAUUAAGGUGAUAUUUUUUUUUAACUUAAUGACUUAAAGUGACUUAACUUAAUUAAUUAAGUUAAUUAUAGGUGUUUAUUUUUAUAACUUAAUGAGAUUUUUUAGAUAAUUUUGACUUAAUAAAAUAAGCUAAUUUUUUUUACUUUUUACUUAAUGGAGAAAUCUGAAUUAAGUCAAUUACUUGCUAAUGUCAAAAAUAUCUCUAUUUUAUAAUUUAUUUUUCAUGUCUAUCCCAAAACUCACCCAUAGAUAUUUACCCCACAUAAAAAUAUCCAUGUUUUUUCUUUCUUAUAUUAUAUACUAUAAAAUUUGAAAUUUAUGGUAUUUUAUUUAUUAAAAUUUCAAAAUAAUUAUGUAUUCACUUGAAUAUAGUUUUACUUAUAAAUGUUAAAAUAUUGUGGUAUUUAAUAUAUUAUUUAUUUGACAUUCAAAUUUAAUAAGGAUACAAAUGUAAACGUACAUAUUUUUAGCUUUUUAAGUUGAAAAAAAAAACAACUUAAUACUUAUUUUCUGAGAUUCAGACGAAAAAACAAACAUAUUAUUCAGAUUCAGACAUUCAGACCUAUUCAGAAUUCAGACUAAUUCAGGUCUAUUCAGAUUUCAAACAAAAAAACAAACGCCACCUAAGCCUAUUUGGAGUCUAUUGCUUGAGUCGAUAAUGUAGGAGCUCAUGUCGUAAGUUUAAGAGAGAUAAUUAUUCUAUUAUUAUUUAUAUUUUAUUGGAUGCAUUAAUAGAAUUAGGUAGAAAAUAUUUUUAUCUAACUAUUACGGUUUAUUCUCAACCAAAGAGAAUUUUAAGCAUUUUAUAAGUGUAGCUCUGACUAGAACUUAUCAUUGGUAUCAAAGCGACGUUAUCUUGUUUAAACACUUUAUUAUUCUCAUGGCAACUAACAAAGAAAGGAUUGAGAGUUUAGAAGCCAGGCUUAGAGGACUUCAAAAUGGAAUGCAGCAAAUAGAGAUUGGCGUUAAUGAUAAACUACAUCAGCUCGAAGAGGCCAUCAAUCGCAUGUGUGAGGCUUUAUUUUCAAACAAAGAAGGGUUCGGUCACAACAUCAAUAGUCACACUAGCCAUUCUUACAAGGAGAACACCAAAGAGGAAGCAGAUGGAAGUUGAAUGAUUUUCUCAUAAAAAAUGGCUAAGUUACAAUUUCCAAGGUACACUGGUGAUGAUCCUACGGAGUGGUUUAGCAAAGUUUCACAAUUCUUUGACUACAAGGGAAUUGUAGAGGCACAAAAGGUUGCAUUGGCAUCAUUCCACCUUGAAGGUAAAGCCAUCCAAUGGUGGCAAUGACUGUACAAAGCUUAUAAAGAGAAGCGAAGAAUGAUAAUAUUGACGGAUUUUGAAGAAGAAUUGUGGGCACGUUUUGGACCUACUGAAUGUGAAGAUUUUGAUAAAGCUCUAUCCAGCGUGCGACAGGUAGGCACCUUACGUGAUUAUCAACAGGAGUUUGAAAGAUUGGGCAAUUGGGUUUAUGAAGACUUGGUCUAGGCUUCUAUUCAAAGUUCACGUUAUUAAUUACUGUAUUAUAGUAUGUUAAUUAAGUCUAUUUGGAGUCUGUUGUUUGAGUCGAUAAUGUAGGAGUUCAUGUCGUAAGUUUAGGAGAAGUAGUUAUUCUAUUGUUAUUUAAAUUUAUUCAAUGCAUCAAUAGAAUCAGGCAAAAAAUAUUUUAUCCAACUAUUACGAUCUAUUCUUACCUAAAGAGAAUCCUAAGAAUUUUAUAAGUGUAAUUCUAACUGGGACCUAUCAGUGUUCCAAUUCGGGACAUAUAUGUGGGUUAGCACUAGCUGUCAGCAGAUAUAUGAAGUAGAAUAGUAUAUAUAUCCUAUUAAAUAAUUAAUUUUUUAUUAUAAAAAUGGUAUUUAUAUAAUAAACAUCCGUAAAGCAAUGAGGAAACAAUAAAAUCCUUGGAUAAGCCUCUUAAAAAUAUAGUCAAAUGAUUUUUAAACAGUUUUAUUUAGCUGAUCACUAGAUUAAAAUCUUGAGAGAAAUAAGAAGUUUAAAAAUAAAUUUACACUUUACCCUCUCGUAACCUUUAAUAAACAAAAAUACUUGGACAAAUAGUGUGGGCAACUAUAAAAGUUGAAAGAGUGAAGUGAUUUUAAAAAUAAAAGAGCAAGAACUUGAGUAGACAACUAAAAAUAGUCAGUUGUUUAGACUUUGAUACUUAGAUUGAGUCUUCUUUGAAGCAUUAUAUGCACGAUUUAGGAAGUUAAUUUAGGUUAAUUGAAGAUUUCAGAGUUUUUAUUAUUCAUGGACUUUCUAUUUUAACUAGAGUUAAUUAUGUAUGUGUCUUAAUAUUUUAAUUCUAUUAUAAUUAUAACUUAGUUUUUCUUUUGUUAACUUAAGGAAAGAAGUUUAUUUUAUUAUAAAUAGAGAGGUCUUGUUAUUAUUUUUUUAACUUCAUAUUUAAUUAUUCAAUAAAACCACUCUUAUAUACUUCCCUCUGGGAUUAUCUAUCAAAUUCUCUCUUGUAAAGUCAUUUAGAUUAGAGCGUCAUCUAAUCUCGCUUUACGCAUUAUUAAAAUCUCAUUGAGUCAUUUGGAUUAGAAUGAGAUCUAAUCACGUUUCGAUUAGAGCAAUCUAAUCGCGUUGACUUAACGAUAUCUAAUUUACCUACCCUAUUAAUUUCCGCUUUCGCUACGCCUCACUCCAUUAGUUGGUAUAAGAGCCAUUUUGUGCACAAUUGCACAACUUUCCUGGCUACUCAUAUCCAUCCCCACCAAAUCCAUCACUUUUUAUCCAAAAAAAUAAUAAAUAAAUAAAUAAAAAAGAUUUUGAAACUCUAACCGCUAGCCACAUCGCCGCCAACCACUGCUGCCUCCACCAUCCAACCACAUCACGACCAGCCUCUACAACCAUCAAACUCGCCACUCAUUGCCAACCAAACCCCAAUCCAACUCGCUCUCAACGCUGUCUGCCUCCACUGUGAAAAUCAUUCAAACCCACGAGAGCUCCACUAACUAUUGCUGCGAAAUCACCCCCUUUUUCCCGUCGAUUGUCACCUCUGUCCACCUUCCCUCGAGUUGUUGAUCAUAUUUCCACUACCACCAUUCGGAUUCAGCCGAGAACCACUACAAUAGCCAUCAAACCCACAAGUUCCACCACUUACCACCGUCGUCUAGCCACCUUAUUACUGUCGACCACCAGCACCAAAAGAAUCCUCAUCCUCUGUCGACCAAAACUAACCGCCCUCUACUCUUAAAUGUCGGCCAUAAACUGCCACGAACAACCAUCAAUCGUCACCAUUUUAAUUCAUUUUUUUGGUGAAUCCACAACGAUUGAGCCAAACUGCCACCACCAUCACACUCACUGACCUCAAAUUUUCUAGAUCCACCUAUCCUUAUCUAAUUUUUUGAUCACCGUCGCUGGUAACCCAUAUUUUGCUUAUUUAUAAGUUUUUUCCAAUAUUUUCUUUAUUUACAAUCACUGUGUGAAAAUUGGGCCAUAAACGACAAACUACCAUCCUUGCCCUCCUAUUUAUCAUGUACAGGAACUAUAUGCAUACACUCGUCCAAACAAAUUUCUUGAUUGGUUGGACAAAAUUGAGCAUUGGUUUAUAGCUUGGCGCAUUCCUAAAGAAGAGCAAGUAUCGUUUGCUGCUAGUAGAUUAAACAUAAGUGUUUCAAAAUAGUGGGAUGAGUUGCAAAUUUCUCGACUAUAAGUUCGAAUUACAAGAUGAUUUGAUCUUAAACUGCAAGUUUCGUCCUCCACAUUGCAUUCAAACUCGAGAACAAGUUUCUUUUAACAAGGGGAGAAUGACGUAGGACGUUAAUUUAGGUUAAUUAAAGAUUCUAGAGUUUUAUUAUUCAAGAACUUUCUAUUUUAAUUAGAGUCAAUUAUGUAUGUGUCUUAAUCUUUUAUUUCUAUUAUAAUUAUAAUUUAAUUUUCCUUUUUAAAUUAACUUAUGGAAAUAGAUUUACU